UCAUCAGCAUGAGCUCCUCACUG
rnacentral:piRNA from 1 species